rnacentral:lncRNA from 1 species
UUUUUUGAUCAGAUUCAAGUUGAGGUGGUGGAGGCAUAUCAGAGAUGGGGACAUACAUGUCAUAAAGUGAAGGAUGUAUGGAAGGUGGGCGUCGUGGGGUCAUAAGUGACCGUCUAAAACAAGGUUGCAUUGUUGGGAUCAAAGACUUGUUAUUGUUGGGUCGAGCUAUCUCGGCCCAUGAUACAAGGAACAUGUUUGCAGAAUAUGCGUCCGCUAUACGAUGGUCAAAAGUGCAAGCCACUACUAAUCCACCACAUUUCAUCCAUGUUGUCUGCAUAGUAACAAUGACGAUUAAAACACUUAUAAUCUAUACUAUAUACAAAGCGGUCCCAAACCUACACCACUAGACCAACCAAGUCGUUAAAAAUUAAAAUUUAAUAAAAUCUAUUGUUUGUAAUUUAUCCACAUCGGUGCAAUAAAAAGAUAAGACUGACGGGUAAUGAAUGUCCGUCUAAACGCUGGUACUAAUUAUGAUAAUGAUCAGGGCCAUCCCUGGGGAGGUGCAAACAGCUCUACUGAGCUGGGCCUCCCCAAAUUUUGGGGCCCAAUUUUUUUUAUAUAUAUAUAUAUAAUGCACUGAAAUUAUAAUAUAUAUACAGAUAACAUUGUAAUCUUAACAAAAUUGAAGGCGCGCCCCAGUGAUAAAUUUUGGAGAUAUUGAACUUAUGUACUCCGAUUCAAUUCCUGUGGGUGUUGAUUUUUGUGUUUUUAUCAUUUAUUUAUUUUUCCAGCAUUAUAGGGUCUUUUUUUGCCUAAUUUUGAUGGGUUUGAGGUUUAUAUAUCCUAAAUACUAUCUCCUCUUAUUACAAUAAGCUCUAACAACAAACAUUAUAAUUAUUUUUUAAAAAUAUAAAAUAAAAAACAUUAUAAUUUUUUUUGCUCUUUUAAAAAAAUUGUAUUUUUAUUUUGACUAGGGGCCUAUUUUUAUUUGAGAGCCGAGCCUCCAUUUUUAUUGGGACGGCCCUGAUAAUGAUUAUUAUAACAAUACAUGCUUAUAGUAAUUCUUUGCCAAUUGGAAUAUUCCCUUGAGAACAAAAUGUUUUGUUAAUAAAAUAAAUCUUUUUUCACCUGAGCAGCAAGCACACCAUGUUUCUUCUUUGGAACAAGCUUCCCUUCAACAGUUUCAUCUGGAUUAUACAAAUUGAGAGAUUGUAACUCAACAUCAGCAAAAGCUUCAACAAAAUCCACUCCACGAUUGUUGCAAAGUAACUCAGGUUCACCCAUGGAGUUAGUCAUCACUUCACCAGCAAAGGCAUAAUAAGAAACAAGAGCCUCAGUUAAAGAAUUUUUCAAACAUCCCACAAUGCUAUGGUGGGUGGCAGUAGUAAUUAUAGGAUUUUUGUAACAGAAGAACACACCAACAUCAACUGGGGGAAGAAUUAAAUCAAGGUUUGAUAGUGGAAGCCAGUGCUCUUGCAUUGGCAGAGCAGCAGCCACUAUUUCUUUGUUGGUAACUUUCACGGUGAAUUCUCCUUUUCCAAUACACAUUUUGGGGACUAGAUUAGGAGAAUGUUUCACCUCUAGUUUAGUGAAUAAGGUAGAAGGGUGACAUUGCAUGUAUUUAUAGAAUAAUAAUGUAAAGCAAAGUGAAUUCUGUAGGUGGUAUUUUUCCUUUUUAUUUUACUAUUCUUUAUCAAAGUCAAUCGUGAUAACAUGUGAAAACAAUUAAAUACGAGAUAUUUUAUUUUGAGCUUGUACGGAGUACGGUACGCAAAUAAAUUGAAUGGUUUUGGUGUUUUUUCUAAACAAUAAGUGAAUAUAGUUGUUUGGCUUUUAUUUUAUUUUUUACCUAUCAGAUUCUAGAGGAAGGGGUUCUAGGAGUCUGGAGUUCGGCCGACAGAUAAAUAAACUUAUGUUAUCUUAAACGAUUCAUCAUUUGUUGAAGUUCGUCAUUCUCUUUAGGGCUCAAAUUUUUAAAUUUUUUACAAUAUUUAAUGUUUUUUUAUAGAGAUAUGCAUAUAGUUUCAAUAUUCUAAGACGCUGUCUCCGGUGAGAGAGUGUCACUAAUCUCUUAUUAUGAGCAAGUAUUUUAUACCGUCGGAUACAGAACAGUGUAUUAUAUUAUUAUAUAGACUGUUUAACAUUAAAUUAUUUUCUUCAUUAUCUCAGCUCUUAAAACCACACUUAUGAGGAGCUUAACCUUUUUUCCUCAAUACUCAAAGCAUUGCAUCCAAUUUUUCCAUGAAAUAGUGGAUCAUAACUAGUAAUAAUCCUUAUCAAUCAUCAUUGUAGCUUUAUUUUACGGUGCCAGUGGUUAAAUCUCUCAUGCAACCAGCACGAUACUUGCUACGAAAAUGUGUUUAAUUUCAUGCAUAUUAGUGUGAUCUAUUCUAUUUAUCUAUGAAUUUUGCACAUUAGCCUGACUAUUAACAAUGACCGGUUAUGCUAACAGAAAAUAACUUGGGUACUACAUUAGCAACUCAAAUCAAUAUGCUAAUUAGACACUUCUUUAACCAUUUUUCUUUGAUUUCAUGUAACAAAAAAUCUAAUUAGCCCUCUUAUAUUAAAAAAUAUAUUAACCCUAACGCAUUCAAUCUUUUUUGAGACAAGAGGAAAUGAUCAAGUAAAGUAAUAAUCAUUAUUUUGACUGUGUUGAUCACCUUUUACCUAUCACAUGCUAUUGAGCUGGAUCGUACUCUACCGUGGUCCAGUUUUAUUGUUUUGGUUUUGUUGGUAAAAAGCCAAAAGAACAUCCAAAAAGGACAGCACCAAAUAAAAAAGUGAAAAGGAGAAUUAUAUCUUUCACACAGGCAGACUAAAAGUUUACAUUGAAAUCCUAGCUAACUAUACUAAGAAGCAUUUGAGGCUUGAACACAAGCUCCAAAUAGUCUUAAAUGGUGAAACUAAACUCUUCCUCUUAUAUUUCUCUAUCUAAAUAAAGACUUAUAUGGUACAUUGAUUUGUUUUUUUAAAAUGAUUUACAUCUAUUUAUAUACAAGUCUGUAAAGUGCAUAUUCGCCUAGCAUAAUACGUUUGCCCAGCGAAUACGAGGUUUCUUCAUAUGGAGGAAAAAUACUUCAUCCAAAUGGUCACUAAAACUGUCUUGAUUCGAUAGGAAAUUGUUGCUCACCUAGCGAAUAUGCUUGCAUCUCCCUAAAACUUCUCUGGAGUCCUUCAUUUUGACACCUCACUCGAGCUCGUCCGACAAAUCUUCAAAUCUUAUAAAAUCAUUUCACUUGAAAUCAAUUUUUAUCAAAUUCAGCUUGCUUUACAUUAUUUUAUAAAUACAUGCAUUUUAAAAUAACUUUAAAAAAUAAUACAAAGUUACGUUUCAGAAGAAAAAAAACAUAAAAUUCGCAAAGUACAAGGUUUGAAUCCCAAGGCAAGUAUAUGACUAAUUGAGUUGGCAAACAUGUACAAUGAAUUUUCCAUAUUAUAUAUUUAUAAGGAAAUUGAUUUUUUUAGGCUUUAUUUUGACCUAAAAUUUUGAGGUCUAAAGUUUUAGUUUAGAACGUUUGAUCCUUGGAUCAGUCUUCAAAUUUAUAAAUACCCUUUUUAUUAUAUGAUCCAUCUGUUUUUUAGAAAUUAAUUUUUAUCUUCUUUCAUGUAAAAUCAUUUACACUAUCAAACAAUAACACAUCAUUAUUUGUAUGAAUUUUGAAAUAGAUAUGAUUAAAAUCAAAUAUUCUAAUGAAGUAAGACCUAAAUUUUUUAUUGUAGUCUAACCAUGGUUUUGGUGGGGGUGAAUACUUCAUGUACUUUAUUAAAGUUCGUGUUUAAAUAUCUCUUGUACUUAUUUUCAUAAUUAAUAAAAAAAAUUGCUGCUAAAAAAACUAACUUGUUUAUUUUUUCAAAUGUUUGUCGUCGUUUGUAAUGCUUUAUUGUUCUUGCUAUAGGUCUUUCAUGGCAAGCUUUGUUUGGGUGCAUGAUGUGUGAUAUAUAUGGCAUAAACUCUUAUAGUACGACACAAUUCAAAUAUAAGGAGAAGAUGAUCAAACUCAAUUCAUAGUACUAGACAGUAGUAGUAGGACCGGUAGCGAAGUCUCUUUAUAUUGUUAGGGCUUAAAUGCUUUUUUGGUCCCUUAAAUAUUUAUUUGGUAUCGCUUUGGUCCUUUAACUAAAAAAAAGAUUGUUUUAGCACUUUAAUUUAAUUUUCGUUACAUUUUUUGGUCCCUUCCGCUAGGUUUCUGUUAGGUUUAAUAAAAAACGUUAAGUGUGGUACACGUGUCGUUUUGACAUUGGCUCUGGAAACAUUAAGGGACCAAAGUGAUACCAAAUAAAUACUUAAGGGACGAAAAGAGAAUUUAAGCUUUUUUUAUCAUCUUCUUCAUCUUCAUCAAAACCUUCAUCAUAUUCAUCAAUUAAAUCCAGAAAAAAAAGGAAAUAAUCGAAAAAAACUAAAAAAAAAAAUAUCCACUGAUUCAUCUUGCAGGACAUUGAUUCAUCUUCAACCCAAAUCCAUAACCCCUAUUUUAUUUAACCAUGCCCAAAUUCAUCUUGCAGGACAUUGAUUCAUUUUCGAGUUCAAUAACUCAUCAUCAACAGUCAUCGUCGCCGUUUAUGGGAGGAUCUACUAUCCAAUGUCGUUUUUCUAAAUUGAAGGUUUUGGUGAGAGAGAAAAAUGGAAAUGGUUUUAGGAAACUAUGAAGAAUAAGAUUGAAGAAAUGAUGGAUUUUGGGUUCUAAAUUGGUAAAGAUUAAUGAAAUAUUUUUUUUUCCUGGGUUGGUGUGUUGUUGAUGAUGAAGAUCAUGAAGAAGAGGAUCAAAGGAGAAGGAAGAAGAGGAAUAGUACAAACCCUAACGUUUUUUUGAUUUUUUUUAACAGAAGAGACCAAAACAGGUAACAGAGAUGAAGAUAAAGUACUCAAACAAUCUUUUUUUUAGUUAAGGGACCAAAACGAUACAAAAUAAAUACUUAAGGGACCAAAAGAGCAUUUAAGCCUAUUGUUAGUUGCUAAAGUUAGAAACCUCGUAGUUGUGAAUAUGUCAAAUACUUCGGAGUGCAUGAGGAUAUAUGUCACAACCACUUGAGGGUGGUCCUGGUGGUCCACACACACACACACACACACAUAUAUAUAUAUAUAUAUAUAUAUAUAUAGUUUUUAUUAAGAUGUGUUUUAGCAAAGAUAUAAUUAAAAAGUUGUUAAAUACAUCUUAAGGUGAAUGUUGAUAAACACACCAUCAAAAAAAUAAGUGGUGUAUGUUAGCAACUUCUAUAGCCAUUUGCUAGGAUACACCCACUUAUUUUUUAGAAGGUGUGUUUUAGCAAGUUAUAACUAAAAAGUAGUUAAAUAUACCUUAAGAUGUAGCUUGCUAAAACACUCCUACAUAAAAACUAGGAGGUGUGUUCUAACAAACUCUAUAUAUAUAUAUAUAUAUAUAUAUAUCCUAUCACUUUUAAAUAACAUCCCUUAUUACGGAAAUAGAUCUUCUUACAUGUAAUUUUCACAUCAAAGAGUAAAAUGUAAUUUCCUAUCAUUCAUCAGAAAAGAGAAGCACACCAAAAAUUUAAAUAAAGUGGGUUUUGAAUGGUUAUAUAUCGCGCUUUAAUAUUUCAUGUGUAAAUUAUACACAUGAGAAAAUCCAUUCCUUAUCAGUGUUAUCACUACUAAUUUGAGUAUACUUUUAAGACUAAUAAUAUUUGAAAAACAAAAAAUUAACAACUUUUACGACAACAUUUUUUUCCAUUCUUCUUUUGAGUUAAAAGUAAUAGAGAGCGAAUAAGAAUACAAUAAGAGUAUAAGAGAGUUUUCAAAAAUUGUCAACUUUUAACUGUUCAAAUAUCAUUACUCUAUUUUUUAAAUAAAAAUAUGUAACCAACACCUAAUUUUCCCAACAUCAGCUAGCUACAUCUAAUUAAGCACAUACAAAACUAUGAUUAAUCGCAUUAUAAACUGUGAAAUUAUAGUUAAUCGCGUAAUUGAAAUAUUAACAAUUUUCGAUGUAAAUAUAGAAAUAACUACAUAUAUAACAUGAUUAAUUAAUCCCUAAAAAACAUGAUUAACUAAGGCUUUGUUUGAUAGUUUGAAGGGGAUGGGAAGGGAGGACUUUGGAGGUGGAAAAUAUAGAGGGAAAUUGACAAAUCUUCACAUUUUUCUGAAAGAGUAUGUUUAUAGAAAAUGAUAAACUAAUGAAUAUGAUUCAAAUAUUUUUAAUCUUAAGAAUAUUAUAACAGAUUAAAUUUGAAAAAUUCAUAUAAAAAUCCUCCAAAACCAUUUUCUAAUACAAUUUUUUUUAGUUACCUCAAAUAAGGAGGGUUUUGUAUUAUGAAGCAAAAUUAAUCCCUCAAAAUUCCCUCCCCUCCCAAUCUCCUCUAUUUCUUCAACUUGCUCCUUCCUUUUUUUUCAAACACCCCCCUCCAAACUCGCAAACAAAAUCUAAAUGUUUCCCUUUCAACAAGAGAAAAAAGUCCUCUAAAAAAACAAGAUGAAAAAGUAAAUAAAUAAACGUUACACGUGUAGAAAAAGGCUAAAUUACUCAGGGGUCUUUUAAGUUUCAUAUUUGUAACAUAUUAGUUCUUUAAAUUAUUUUUGUCUCAUAUGAAUCCGUUAAGUUUACAAACGUGUGUAGAGUUACCCAUCUGCUUUGCUUAAAAACCCUUUUGAUUUGCUUAAAAACACAAAUUGCUCAAAGGUAACUCGAUUUGAACCACUAAUAUGUGUUUUCUUCAAUUUGCAACCGAAUUUGAACCAUUGACGCACUUGAAAGCCAUUGAUUUGAGAAAUUUAAGCUCUGGUAUGAAUAAAAAUUGAGUUUAGAAUUUGAAAUUUGGGGGAAAAUGGUUUGAAAGAAUGAUGAAAAUGAAGUUAGACACGUCAGAUACACAAAACACUAUGUUUUGAACUCCACUAUGCCAUGUCACACACUUAACAACCAAUGUUUGUAAUGUCACUUUAAUAGAAGGGUAACUUUGCACAUGUUUGUAAAUUUAAAGGACUGAUAUGAAACAAAAAUAACUUAAAUGUAAAUCUAUUACAAUCGUAAAAUUUAAAUGAUCCAUGAUGUAAUUUAGCCUAAAAAAUAAAUUAUGUGUGAAAGCGUUACUGGGUCAAACUAUGUGAAUUUAUGCUUAUUUUUGGAGUUGCGCCAAACUUUUUUUUUUUCUAACCAAAUUUAAUUAGGUCAUUUAGAUGAGAUUAGCUAUGUCACUGCCAAUUUUUUUUUGUUGCUAUUUAUCAAUGUUUGGGUUAUAUACUUGUAUUAGAUAAUAUCACAUGACAUUGAUAAUUCAAGUGUGACAUGUAGCAAUAUAAUUUUUUUAAAUAUAAAAUACGUUGAAAAAUAAAAAUAGUUAAGUUGACUUAUAUAUCAUAAUUAAAUUGGUCAAUAUCAACCAUUCCUUUCUUGAUGACACACAAGUGGAGCUUAUCAAUGCUUUCAUUCCAAACAUUAUAAUGUAAGUGCCUAAAUUCCUAAACUAUCUCUAAUAUUGUACUACAUCUUUAUCCCCUGACACUACAUAUAUUAACUAGUACUAGUCUUUCUGACCUUGGUGUAAUAUAUCGCUAGGUAUACCUACUUUUUUACAAUGUUAAUUUAAUAAAUUUUUGUGUAACUUCUUUAAUUUUCGAGUAUUAAAAUGAAUAACAAAAUGGGAAACCUCCAAAAGAUGAUGUUCCGGGUGGGGGUAGUUGUAUACCGAGUUUGUCAUUGAAUUGGCAAGUGGGUCAUUAAAGCUUACAAAUUUUAAAUUGUUUUUGCAUUUCUGAACAAUUCCAACACAAGUUCUUAAUCAAUGAAGUCGUAAAAUCUCUCAUUAAACUAUACACAUUUGGAUUUGGUAUACAGUCGUUAAAGCAUGUAUAUUAGUAAUUUGACGUAGAAUGGUAUUGGUCACACUCACACUUACCUACAGUAUUUUAUUUAUAAACAAAGAAAGCUUAGCAUUCAUAAAAGUUAGUCAACGAUACAAAGGGAAGACCACGGUCAAAUUCUUUUCACCCCAAUUUCUCACGCACACUAGGAAUUACCCAUGUGUUUUUGCUGUUUAGGGUUUUAGAACUUGAACUUAUCUUGUAUUACCUUUAGAACCCCUCCUUUGCAAAAACAAAAAAUAAAAAAUCUUUUUCUUUUAACAAAAUUACAUACUUUGAUUUACCAAAAAAAAAUUAGGUACUUCAAAUUUUAUAACCUAGAGCAUAUAUUUUUUUUCAGUUGAGAUUAUAAAAUCUGAACUAUCUUCAAGUAUAUGUUUCUCAAAAUCAAACAUCUUCUUCACCAUCAAAUUUCUCUUCUUAACUCCAAAUCCCUUUAAAAACGCCUUAUUUGAAACAACUAUUUAAAACAUACAAUUAUUUAAAGCAAACACCUGAUUUAAAAACUAAAAGUGAGGAUCUUUUCAGAUUUUUUUUUUUUGCGAAACAAUUAUUUAAAAACAAACAAUAUUUUCUUUUAUUGCAAACAAAAUUAUAUAUAUUUUCUUUUAAGUUACGAUCUUUUUUAUGGUUAAAAACGAAUUAUGCUACACUUGCUUUUGACUAUCAUUUUAGGUGGCUUGAUCAUCUAAUGUGUUUCACUUCUGUUUAGUGUUCAACUUGUUUUUAGGUUUUUGUUUCAAUUGUGUUUUCUUCAGAUUUUGAUUUAUACUACUGCAAAUUUAUAAUAAAAAAAAAUAUUAUUUUGAAGUUUUGUUGGAUACCAGUAUUUCAUAGGAAGAAUUAAUUCAAAAUUGAAUUUAUUUUAAAAUAAUUAAAUAUAAAAAAAUGACAUGAUAUAUUACAUGAUAGUUAACACACCAAACAGAAUUUCAGAAUACUAUAGUAUUCACCUAACACAAAAUCAUGCAUGCUCAACCUUGUUUCAAUUAUGUUCAUCAAAGAAAUCUAAUGAGUUCAAAGGUGAUGACAAGAAAUCUAAUGAAAGUCAAUAUUUCAACCAAAAAGUGGAGAACAUCGACAAACUAUAGCAAUAUGAUAAGUAUAGAAACAAAUUCAAGUUUUUAAGAACAAAUUCAAGUUUCUAAGAACAUUAAGUAUGUCUUUCAUAUCUUUAAUUUCUUUGACAUUUCAAUUCAAUCUUUCUUUUUAUUUACUCUUAUUCACAAUUUUAAUUCCAAGUCUUUUUAUUUUUCACAUUUUAUUUCAAGUCAUGCAAAUUCAAGCACUUUAAGUUACGUACUAUUUUCCUCCUGCAUGAUUGGAGUGCAUAAUCCACACACAAGACAUAUAGAGAGGGUGAAGAUCGGAUUUUUGAUAAAUAUUUUACAACCUUAGCAAGGAACAUUACAUUAUCAUUCAUCUUAAAUUCAAAGCAAAUUAAUAGCAUAAUGCAAAUUUAUUAUAGUUACUAUAUGAUGAACCCAUGUGGAUGUAGGAAUAAUACAAUAAACAAACAAAUGAAUUUAGUAGCACAAACUUUAAUUGAUGAGGUAAUCCCAAGAGAUUGGUCUAAAGAAAUGGGGAGCUUGAGCCUCCAUGAAGUGCAAGUGUCCCUUAGGAAGGUGCAUGUAGAGCAACCAAUCACCAUUCCUUUUAGGGCUUGGCAUUGGCAUAACAUAGCCAGCACUACCUCCCCAAGGAAAAUGAUAAGAUCCAAACACAGGCUUCCCCCAUCCAAAAUCAACCUUCGACUCUGGAAACCUCUGCCCUGAAGAUACAACAAAUGUUGGUCCUUCUUCUCCACCAGUGCUGCCACAAUAAAUCCUAGCCAAUCCAGGAACUGGUCGAUGCUCUUCCACCCAAUCAAUUAGACCCAAGAAAUGCUCCUCUGUCACUGCUGCCUCCAAAAACUCAUGAACUCGAUCAGCCACCCAACAUAGCGGAUUAUCAACCAGCUCUUCUGCUAAUCUACCACCAUAGGGAAUCGAAAGCACAUUCCCAAAAUAUGAAUUCAUAAGCUCUUCUUUGUUUUUGUCACCGUUGCUUAGCCUCUUUCUUCCGUCAACCACAAGCCCCAUUUUUGCAACAAUAUUUUCAUUAUUGAUUGAAGCCGCUUCGGCAACCAUUUUCCACAAGAAAGCAGAAAAGGACUCGAGUUUUGAGCGCUUGGAACUACCACCAUUAUUGUUUGAGUUGGCUAGUGACUGCAUGUUGUUGAGUUCUUUGCUUGUUACAUAGUAUAUGCGACUUAUUAUUGGGUCGGUUUUAAUAUCAGAUUCAGGUUCUGGUGGUGGAGGUAGAUCAGAGAUGGGGACAUACAUGUCAUAAAUUGAAGGAUGGAUGGAAGGUGGGCGUCGUGGGGUCAGAAGUGACCGUCGAAAACAAGGUUGCGUUGUUGGGAUCAAAGACUUGUUAUCAUUGGGCCGAGCUAUCUCGGCCCAUGAUACAAGGAACAUGUUUGCAGAAUAGGCAUCAGCUAUACGAUGGUCAAAAGUGCAAGCCACUACUAAACCACCACAUUUCAUCCAAGUUGCCUGCAUAGUAACAAUGAUAAUUAAAACACUAUAAAUAAUACUAAUAAAUUUGUAGACAUGUUGCAUUGAUUUUUAAAUGAAUAAUAUUUUACCUGAACAGCAAGCACACCAUGUUUCUUCUUUGGAACAAGUUUCCCUUCAACAGUUUCAUCUGGAUUAUACAAAUUGAGAGAUUGUAACUCAACAUCAGCAAAAGCUUCAACAAAAUCCACUCCACGAUUGUUGCAAAGUAACUCAGGUUCACCCAUGGAGUUAGUCAUCACUUCACCAGCAAAGGCAUAAUAAGAAACAAGAGCCUCAGUUAAAGAAUUUUUCAAACAUCCCACAAUGCUAUGGUGGGUGGCAGUAGUAAUUAUAGGAUUUUUGUAACAGAAGAACACACCAACAUCAACUGGGGGAAGAAUUAAAUCAAGGUUUGAUAGUGGAAGCCAGUGCUCUUGCAUUGGCAGAGCAGCAGCCACUAUUUCUUUGUUGGUAACUUUCACGGUGAAUUCUCCUUUUCCAAUACACAUUUUGGGGACUAGAUUAGGAGAAUGUUUCACUACUAGUAGUUGAGUAUUUGCCUUGUUUGGUGAAUAAGGUAGAAGGGUGCAUGCAUGUAUUUAUAGAAUAACGUAGAGCAAGGUGAAUUUGGUAGGUAGGAGCAUUUAUUUUACUAUUCAGAAUCAAAGUCAAUCUUGGUAGCAUGUGAAAAGAAUUAUAUAUGGGAUAUUUUGUUUGGAGCUUGUAGGGUAGUCAAAUAAAUUAUGAACAAUUUGGUGUGUUUUUUUUUCUUACAAAAAAACAAUGGCAUAAUACGAGUUAUUAGUCAACUCUUGGGAUUUAAGAAAUUUUAUUUCACUGUUCAUAAGAAUUAUGGUAAUUUUAGUAGUGAACAAAUAUAAUCAUAUGCUAAUUUUCUAUAUCUAUUUUGGAGACAUUGUUGUUAGCACAUUCACUCUUAUUAGUAAUUAAUAAAAUCAAAGUCUGAAAUUAUUUUUAAUAUUGUAAUUUUGCUGAAAUUUUGAAGUUUUGACAAGAUUUAAUUUUCCGUAUUUAAAAAAAUAAGAUGUCAUUUUUAAUAUACUAUAGGGAUAUUGUAUAUUAUAUGCAGGGAUCAGAGUUCGAAUCAUGGACACUCUACUUCUUCACAAUUUAAUUAUGUGAGCUAUAGUCACUAGACUACUUGACAAAAAAAAAAAAAUAUGGCAACAUAUAAGUCAAGAGCAACUAGUUACAUUUACCAUGACCGCUUGGAGGUUUAUGGAAGAAACACAAUCUAAAAUUAUGGGAGGACAAACAUGAAUCAGUUGAUAAUAUGAUACAACGUGCUUUUGGAAUGCUUCACACAUGGCAGCAAGCACGUCGAAUCGGUAUGAGUACAAAUACUAUUAGCCAGGCCGAUCGGAAUAUCAUAUGGCAACCUACAUCGCUAGGAUAUGUCAAAUGCAACAUAGAUGUGGCAAUCUCUACAUAUUUUCAAAAAGUAGGUAUGGGUGCUUGCCUUAGGAAUGCAACGAGACAUUUUUUGGGAGCUAUAACAGAUGUUUGCAAUGUUGUUAUGAUAACUUCAGAGGUAGAAUGUUGGGGGUUUGAAAAGGACACUUGAAUGGCUUGAUACGUUGGAACACCACAACGUCAUAUUGGAAAUGGAUUGUAAAUCGAUCGUUGAUGAUGUCAAUAAAAACAAGGAUGAUGUGAUCUUGAAAUAUUGUAAAUAUCUCUUCUCACAUCACAAUAAUUACAAAGUUAUGUUUACGGGGCGUCAAGCAAAUGGUAGCGCUCAUGCUUUUGCACGAGCAGCUUAAUCUUCCGCUUCUCGCAUUGUUUUUGAUUAAUUCAAUUCCACAUUAUAUUGUUACUAUUAUCAUUAAUGAAAUGCCUUUAAUUUGAUUGAGUCAAAAACAAAAACAAAACAAAAAACAAGAGAAGAGAGAUCACUUUUUGUCUAGCUCUUUCUUCUUAUCAAAUCACCAACUAUCAUAUCUAUCAUAUUACUCACUUACUCUAUCUCUUUCUCUCCAAAGAUAGAUAUACAUUCAUAUGAAUGUCGAUCAAUCAUUUUUUUUAUUAAUCUAAAGAACAAACUGUAGCGAAGCACUUUAGCAUUUAAGUGUACAAUAUUAUUUUUUUAUUUUUUUAUUAUGUAACACAUCCAAAAACAUAUUGUACUGGAGCCAAAAUAGUUAAUAAUAAAAUAAAUUUUUCAUCAAUAUUUUUUCUUGCAUAAAAUUCAAUUCAUGAAGCAAAAUUUUCAAUUUUUAGUUUCAAAUUAGAAUCAAUUUUGGUGGCAAAAUUAAUUCUACAUGUGAGCAAACAAACAUGUAAAAAAUAAUUCUACAACUCUAGAAUCAUAUUUGAGUCUUUCAAAAAUUAAACCAAACAUGGGCUAAGUUGUGAGAUGGAGAGGCAAGAGUCACUCCUUGACUACCCCUUUAUCCAUGAAUAUAGGUGAUUGUUUUAAUAUAGGAGCAUAUUUCUAAUAUUUUUCAAGGUUGAUACAACACAUACGUAGUGAGACAUUUUAAAAUAACUUCAAAAAUAACACAAGCUUUCUGUUUCGGACCGGCAUAAAUCCCAUUAAGAACGGCCCAACAAGCAAAGGCUUGCAUCACUUGGAGAAAAUCCUCGUGAAGGCGUAUGUAAAGCCCUGCUCGGAUUACCACACAGGAACACACCCAUAUCAAAUUGUCGUCAAAGCCAUCUCUAACGGCUUUCGUGACUCAUGGUGUCACGUCGCAAAACAAAGGAGGCAAUUAUCAACUAGCUCGCCUAUAUAAGCGUGACUCAGCGUCACACUCAAGAUAUAAUUAACUUUACCUAUUUCGCACACAAUCCACCUCUUACACAUGUUGACUUGAGCGUUGUAGUACUAACGCACCAACAUGCACCAUUCUCCUUCAAGAAGGAAGUUGUUUUCCUCCACACCGGAGCACCAUGCACCACCGCGACAACAACCAUCCUUACUGGAGAACCACCACUACAUGUCUCUAAUCUUCACCGAACAAAUCAGUUUAAAAAAAAUAUAUUUGUUAAGUCCAAACUUUGAACUUAAAACAAGGAAUAUGAGACACUCAUCUUGACUGAUUGAGUUGAACAAACAUAUACAAUUAUUUUUUUAUAUUAUAUAUUUAUAACUAAAUUGAUUUUUUUAAGCUUUUAGCCUAAAGAUUUGUAUAAGUCCUAUUUUGAAACAAAUGGCCCUUGAAUUUUCACAUUGCUUAUUUUGGAAUUGAAUUUCGCAUAUCUCUUUUUAACAUAUAAUCUAUCACAUUUUUUUAUUUUUUUAGAAAUUAACUUUGAUGCACUUUCAUGUAAAAUAAUUUAUAUCGUCAAACAGUCACAAAAUACUAUUUAUAUGAUUUUUAAGACAGAUAUCAUGUAUGGAAAAUGUUUCAUAGAUACACCCUUUUAUUCUCAUAGAUCCAUGUACACCUCAUGUAUUAGGAAGAGAGAAGAGGAGAUAAAAGAGAAAGUGUGAUUGUAUGGGGUCCAUGUGAUCACGUGUCAGAUUUUUGUGUGGAUGUUAAGAGGUGUAUUACCACCUAUGAUUGUCCAUAAGUAGGUAACAAACCAACUUGUUUUCCCUGAGAAGAAAAAAAAGAAAAACAAAGUUGUUUAUUUUUUAUUUUCCAAAAGUUUGCCGUCGUUUAGAAAUAUGCUAUAGGUUUUUCGCGGAAAGCUAUAUUUGGGCACCAACUCGCAUAAAUAAUAUGACAAUUCAAAUAUAAAAAGGAGAAGGUUGAUAAAUAUGGCAUCAACUUGCAAAUAUAAUAUAAGAAGGAGAAGAUGAUCAAACUCAAUCCAAAAUAAUGGUGGUAGCUAAGUAUAUAUUUUUAUAUUUUUAGUGCCUAUAGACUAUAUAUAGAAAUCUCAUAUUUGUGAAUAUAUGUCAUACUUAGGGUUGCAUGAGGAUAUACGGGAUUACACAAUGUUGUUGCUAUCAUCACGACCACUUAAGGGCGAUCCAGUAGAAUAUAGAUCCAUCAUCCAUCCAUCAUCCCAUCGCUAAUUUGGGUAUACUUUAAAAAUCAUUGGAUUAAACUUGGUUAAUAACAUAUAAAACUAUGGUUCAUUUAAGUGAGUAUAUGUUUUUUUUUUUUUUUUUACAAAUAUAAAAAAUAUUCAUCCAUUCAAAUUAAUAGAGUACAUUGAUAUAAUACAAAUCCAAAGUCGCUAAAAACUAAAAGUAUGAAUUUGCAAACAAAUUGACAACAUUUAUGUUAAUAGCAUAAAACAAUAUGCAUACAAGUAUGAUUAUAUUCAAGUCUCCAAAAUACUUAUAUUUCUAGAUGUUAAACAUUGGUUGGAUCUACACUUGAUCAAAAUUAAUCUUUUAACAUGAAUUAAAUAAGUAUCGUACUAAGACGGGAAAUCAACAACGCAUUACACAAAGACUAUAACUCAAAAUAAAUAGAUUCGUGUUAAAACAACAAAAUCACAAAACAAACGAAAGAAGACUUUAAUUAUAUGAAAAUCAAUUAUUUAACUAAAAGAAAAAGAAAAACAAUUGAUCCAAAAUCAUCCCUCUUAAAUAAAUCAAGAAAAAGAAAAGUGGGGUCAGUUAAGAUUUGUUCAAAGAGAAAAGAGAGAAGGAGAGAAAAAAAUCAUUGGACAUUGGGUAUAUAAUUAACUUAGAUCACAUAAUUGAACUAUCCAUAAUUUUGGUCGUGAAUUAAUAUAAGGGAAAUGUUAACGAGUGUCUUCGGAGCACUUCUUAAGCAUUUUAAAUAGUAAGUUUUUAUUGAAAAGUCGUGUAUCAAAUGCAUUGGAAAUUGUAACAGUUGAAUUUUUAAAUGAAUAAUUACUAAAUAUGGAAUACUUAAAGAGUGUCCGGGGGCACUCUUUAACAAGUCCCUUAAUAUAAACUAUCAAUUGGCAUUAACCACAUAUUAUAACGUGAUUAACCAAAUAUGAAGGGUGUUGAGACUUGUAUUUUUAGGAAAGGAUGUUUACAACAACCAGCAACAACUUUGCAAUACAUGUUGGUGUACGUCAAUGAAGUUAACCAAGAAUAUGGCUAUAUGUACUAAAGUAUGAGUGAUCGUUGUCUUUGAUUUUUUUUCUUUUUGUGGUGAUUGAGAUUCGAAUUACGGACCUCAAACUUUGCAUAUAUUAUACAUUGUUUCUAUUAAUUAAGUUAAGUUUAUAAAGACCGUUAUUUAAGUCAACACCAGAGUUUUAAAAAUAAAUAAAUUAUAGCAAUGUUUUCCCUCUGUAUAACUAACCAAAAUUCAGUAAUAUCAUCUCCAAAUGGUGAGAAAUAUGUAUCAUUACUCAAUUUGUGCGUCAUUUUUUUAGUUGGGCCAUUUUUUUUUUCAAACCAAAUGUAGUUAUGCCAUUUAGAUUUGAUUAGAUUUAAAUUUGCUAUAUAUUAAUCUUCAGUUAACAUUGGAAAUUCAAUUUUGCACACGAAAUUGGACUAUGACUAUUGACGGGAAUGAAAUGGAUCCAGUCAAACUUAUAUUCUUUUUAUAGAGAAGAGUUGGGUUAUCAAUCAUCUCAAAUACUGUACUACAUUCUUCUUUUCUUUUUGAUUAAGACUGCACUACAUUCUUAUCCAUUUCAAGAGCUGAACUCUUCAUAUACUCCCUAGUCUUUCUGACCUUGGAGUCGCUAGGUAUACCUACUUUUUUAUAGUACUGUUUUUUAGGAGACCUUUUAUUAAAAAAAAAAUUAAAAGGAAGGAGACUUUUUAUUAAUGUUAAUUUAAUACUCAUUUUUUGGUGUAUACAUCUUUAAAUUUCGAGUAUUAAAAUGAAUGACAAAAUGGGAAACCUCGAAAAUAUUAGGUGGGGGUAGUUUAAACCGAGUUUUACAUUGAAUUGUCAAUUGGGUCUUUAUAGUUUACAGAUUUUAAAGAGUCUUUGUAUUUCUGAAAAUUUUAAACAAGUUCUUAAUCGUUGAAUUGAAGUCGUUAACUCUAAUUAAACUAUACAAAAAAACUUGACUAAAAAUGUACAAAAUAAACUAAUUAAAUCAGCCGUAUUAUUUUUACCAAAUCAUAUGGUUGAGAUUAAGUAAUGAAUAAAAUUUCUUUAAAAAAUAGAAAUAAAUAAAAUGUGUUUUAAAUUAACAAAAGAUUGAUAAACUAUUUAUAAAAGAUGUAUAUAAAAAAUAUUUCGUUAGAUAUUAAAACAAAUAAUAUAAUAUAAAGUAUAAACUUUAUUUUUUUUAGGAGUAUUAGAGUUUCAUAUUUUUUUAUACUUUAAAGUAUAAAAAAUAUUUCAUGUAAUUUCAGUAGUAAAAUGCAAGCAUUUAUCUUUUUUUUUUUUUUUUUGAAUGGGCAAAAAUGCAAGCAUUUAUCUAUUCGCUAGGUGCCAUGACUUUGUAACAUACUAGUGUAACGCCCCGUGCCAAGCACGGGAUACAUUUUAUUUAAAAUGUUUUAACAGGGUUUACACAUAAAUAAGUUUUUUAGAUAUUAUUUGACUUUUUUAGUUUGAUUUGAUUCAGAAUUUUGAUAUUAUGUAGUACUUUUAUCUUCAUAUUUAAAAUUGAGACAGAAUUGACGGGGACAUGCCAACUCAGCUUAAAAUAGUGAGAAAAAGUACAACUAUGCUUAAAAUACAAAAAUACAUAAAUAAUUACUAUAUUCUUAAAAAUAUAUCUAAUUAAUAAGAGGUAUGAUUACCUCUCUUAUAAUCUACCAUUAUGGCUCUGCCCUCUCUUUAGAAAUCUUCCGCCACCUCACCCCUUUUUCUCGAUACCUUCAUCACUUACGAUGUACCAACAUGCAACGAUGGUGCGAUGAGUGGCGUCGUCCCCCACACCACCCUUUUUCCGGUUCCCAUAACAAUUUGUGUCGUUGGUUUCCGAUUCAACCAGUACCGCAUCUGCUAUGGGCCAGAAAUGACUGUUAAUUUGAUGUUGAUCAUAGCAGUAAACUGUUAGUGCGUAUGGAUUUGUUAAUUACCGUGUUGGCGGUUGAAUCUACUCCACACUCUCAAGAAUAUGUAUGUGUUUCGUAUCCGAUUAAUCCUUGAUUGGCAUGAGACUGUGUGGACUUGAAAGAGUCGUUAAUGCUUGUUGCCGUUGUUGCAGGGAGUUUAUGGCACGUGAUCCGAUUUUGUGUUGAAGAUCGAUCAAUUCGCCAAAUUAUAGACCCGCUUUGCCCUCACAAACGUCUAUCGUUAAUGAUAUUUGUUUGUUAAAAUUAAUUAGGGUUGAAUCCACUUUGUUGAUCUUUUUUUUUUUAUGUAUUACCCAUUAGGUUGGAUCUACUUGGAUUGACUGGAUCAGAUUUUUUGUCUUCCCAAAUUUCAUAUAAUUUUUUUCUUUUUUUAAUAAUAUAUAUAAGCAAUUGACAAUCGAUUAAAGUAGGGUACCAACUUAAUUGAGAUUAUUCUUUUUGCUCUUGUCUUAUAAAAAUAUAAUAAAAAAUCUACCACUUUGAAUAAAGCUAUUACUUUUUUUAUUUAAUCACAAUACUCUCUCGGAUUUCAAUUAUAAAAAAAAUAUCUAUGUUAAAAAAUUUACUUAUAUGCAAUUAGUUUUCUCAAAUGUUUCCAAAAAAAAGAUAAAUUUAUGAAAAGUACCAUCUAUUGAAACUUGUUUCAUGAGCAUAAAAAAAUAUUAAAAUAAAACUUACAUGAAUUAAAAUGUAUAUUAGGAUAAAUAACAUUAAAUAGAGUCAAAGUAAGUUAUAUAUAUUUUUUUUAAUUUAAGAUAAUAUAAGGUAGUUGUUUAUUUUUUAUAUCUAAGAUUGGAGAGUGUUCCUAAAAAAAUAUUGGAGAGAGUGAGUAUUUCUCUCGGAAGCAAAUUAUCUCUAGUGAGAAAAAUUUGAGAAAAUAAUUUUAUUUAAUCUUCUCUCUUCAUUUUUUUUAAUUAGAGAUCAAGGGUCACAAAUUAAAAUAAUCUAACCGAAUUUCGUUAUGUUUUAGUGUAGUUAUGAUUUCGAAUUCAUCAUUUCCCCUUCUUUCCAAGCAAACACUUCAUCCUUCUUAAUGUUCCUAACCAAAAUCCACAAACUAAAACCUCCAUCAAACAUGGGAAGAAAAAGGUAGGAGAUCUAUGUCAACCCACUCAAUUUCAUGCAAGUUCUUCAACUCCUCAAUGGCGAUCCUAAGAGUAAGGUUAAAAAAUUCUUCUGGUAUGCUAAUGUGGGAUAGAUCAGGCAACUAAAAAUAAAGGUAAUUGUUUUACCAUUUAUUAGAAAAUGUAUUUACUAAAAGGAUUGUGGAAAAAAUCUCCUUCAUCAAAAUAAGCAUACAUUUUCCUUAGUUCUUUUUGUCUCCAUAAUUUAACGGUUGAAUUUGAUCUUAGUUGAUUGAAAUGAAUUUUGUAACAUCGUAUUCCAAUCUCUAAAGAAACAAAUAAAAUGGUUCAAGUAAAUGAAUAAAUAUGUACGUUUCAAUGAUAUUAAAUAAUCAAGUUGAUAGUUAUAAAUACAUACCUAGGAACAACUUAACUUUUGCCAACAAAAUUGUCAGAUUCGACUUUUUAAAUUUACCGAAAGAUAGAAAAAAGAGUACGUACAAACUGAUAUCUCUUAAAAAUUAAUCCACAAAUAAUUAAAAUAAUAAUUAAAUAUCAUAAUAUAUUAUAUAUCAAAAAUAAAAACAAAUCGAUUUCACCAAUUCGAAUUCAAUUAAAUGUUCUUGAAAUGUAUCUUUGCAUUCUCCUUCAAUAUCCACCACAAUUGGUUUAAUUUCUUUCAUUCUUCAAGGCUUACUCAAGUAAAAAUUAUUUUAUUGAAUCCUUAAUAUUUUAUCGAUAUAGUUGUUGCUUGAGGGUUCGUAUAAUGCAGAAUUUCAACUUAUCUUUGUUACGUGAAUAGUUUUGGAGGCUAACAUGGAUCAAUGAGUUUGCAUUUUAAAGUUUUAGCUUCUUAGAAUAGGUUGGGUGAGUUCAUGUGAAGAGUGGGGACAAUUAGGCAUAUGUGUGGUAAAAUUACUUCCAUGGUGUUAAAAUAGGGGCGGAGAUGGGUAUUAGAAAUUGGUUUGAUGACAACUUGAUGAUAGUGGACAGAAUGGGAAAAAUACUCAUUUUUUUACAAUGAUUCGUGGUUGUAGAGUGGUCCUUUGUGUGAUAUAUUUAGAAGAACUUUUGAGUUAUAUCAAAAUAACUAUAUGCCAUUUAAGGAGAUACGUAGGUUAGGGUUGAAUGCGGUGGAGACGAUGCCAUAGAAUUUUUCUUGGAAUGAGGUGCAGGGGAUAUAUUGUUGUUAUUUGUUGGACAACAUUAUUUUUAAGUUAGGCUAGCGUUUUUUAUAAGUUUCUUUAAAGUUGAUCAUGGUGAAAGGUACCCUGACAAAGGGGUAUAUCAUCUAGUUGCAAGUGGAGCAUGAUGAACCUAUGACUCUAAAAAAUCUCAUUAGGAACAAAGUAGCUCCUCUAAAUGUCUCUCUCUUUUCGUGGAGGCUCUUGAAUAUCUGAAUUCUAAUAAAUGACAACUUAGCUUGAUGGAGUAGUUAAAAUAUGGACUUAUUUUUAUGUUCUGGCAGAUGUGAAAAAGAGGAGAAUUAUCUUUUUUAUUUUUAGUGUGAAUUCUUUAGUAGCAUAUGCCAUAAUACUCUAAAGUAGUUGAAAUUAUUGUGAGGGUACUCUUCAUUUCAGUGGUUCUCAAUUGUUCCAAAAAAAAAUUCGUUUUAGUUUUUAGUUGAUUUUGCUGACUUGCAUUUGGAUUAUUUGGAAAGACAAAAAUUCUUACUAUUUGUCACAAGAACCAGUUUAUGGUGUUGUUAGAUAAAUUUACAUUUCUCGUUUACUGGAUACAAAAUGCUAAGAAAUCAUGUAUGUAUUUUGAGUUGAAAUGUUGGUGGAAUAAUCUUUCUACUUGUCUUGGUUAUUCUACCUCAUGAUUUGGUUCUUUUGUAUCUAUGCAUCUUGAACUUUGUAUUUUCCUUUAUUAGGCACAUCUUGUGCUUGAAGGGUUUUUAAUAUAAUUGAUUUGAGGUCUUCAUACAAACAAAAUCCAUCCCAGUCAAGACACCAACUACAUAAAUAUUUAAUUUAUUUCAUGUUGUUAGAAAGGGAUGAGGGUUUGAAAUUAGUUUGAUGAUAAAAAUAUGAUUCAAAUUACAUUUCAUGUCCUAAGAGUCAUUGAAAACAUCAUAUGCAGUGUAAACGAAUAGAUGUUUGUAGGGACCAAAGAAGAUUUAUAUAUUUUGACUUUUGUGUUAAUUGUAAAAUUCAGUUUGUAUUCGUUGUGUGAUGGUCUAUACGAACCAAUAUUGCAAGCAAAAUCAAAUGAGGAAACCGUGAACACCAUUCCCUCUUAGUGCUGCUCCUUGAACUUUUAGAUCAAUAUUCUUUGUAUAAACUCACCUAUUCGAUCACCCUAGAUAACAAAGAUUAAAACACUAUACUUUAAACACAAAAAUACAAAAAAUAAAAAUAAAAAAAUACAAAAAACAAAAACGGUAUGAAAAAAGUACCUUUCGAUCCAUUAGAACCAACUCCUUAGAAAAUGGUAGUUUUUUUAUUUUUGUAGUCUUGAGACGAACAACCCUCACAAACAAUGUCCACGAUUAUUUUCUUGGCGAAACAUCAGAGAUGAAAUAGUGUUUCGUAGACAUUUUUCUUUGCAAUAGAAAAAAUUACAGAAAUUACUUAGAAUAGAUAUCAUAGAACCAAAGAACAGAAAAAGAAGAACUAUAUUUUGUGAUUGUUGUGUACUCGACCCAAAAACGCUACUAUUUAUAUAAAAAAAUAGUACCAUAACGGUUAAUAUCUAAUAAUUAUUAAUUUGACCGUUUUAAAAUUAACAUUAUCAACGUAUUUAAUAUUAUAAAAUGUGCAUUAAACAAUUAGAUUAUAUUUCAUGUAACCUACAAAAAAUUAACUUCAUAACAUUUGAAAUUUAAUAAUAUCUUAUUAAUAUUAAGUAAUAUAAUUUUGUAACGAAUAAAAAUUAAUUAUAUAACCUUAAAAAUUAAUUACUACAAUUAAAAUUUUAAUUAGUAGGUUACUGUCAUACUGUAACGGACCAAAAUUCAAAAUAUAAUUUAUUCAAGUUAUUUAUUAUAAUUUUGUAACCUACCAAAUUUUUAAUGUAUCAUAUAAAUGUUAAUUGAAUAAUAAUUAUAUUAAUAAUCAUUUGAUUCUAACAUACAAAAUUUUAAUGUAACAUAUAAAUUUUAAUCAAAACCAUUAUUAUAUUAAUAAUUAUUUGAUUGUAACCAACUAUGUAUUUUAUGUACAAUUUAAUGAUUAAUAAAAAACGGUUUUUAUUAAUAAUUAUAAUUAUUAAGCUUGUAUUAAAAAUUAGGAGAAAUUUUUGGAACAAAUGCCACGUAGGAUUAUGAUGAUGUGGACAUCUUUAGAGGAGAGGAUUUUGGAAUAGGCUAUUUCUAAAAACUCUAAAUUGUUAGUAUAAAGAUAUUGUGCGAUUCAUCACUUUUAGCAAAUCUUGUGCGGGUGAAUCAAUUUUCAUUUGAGCAUAUAUUCCAUUUUAAUUUGUUCAGAAAAAAAUACAAGCAUUUAUCUCGAUUUAUUUUUUACGGACAUUUAUCUUGAUUCGUAACUCCCUAAGAUAUUAAAAUUAGCUUAUAUUUAUUAAAUAUAAAGUAUAUUACAUAUAAAUAAAAGGCCUAAAUAAAACUUAGAUAAUUGUCCUUCAAAAAAACAAAACUUAGAUAAUUGUCCUUCAAAAAAACAAAACUUAGAUAAUUGUAAAAGAAACCUAUAUAAAGAUAACUGUGUAGAAAACAAAGGACAAAUAUUAAAACGACAAAGUUAUAUAAAAAUAUAAUAAUAUGCUUAACCUUUUAAAAAAUGUAUUUAACCUAAUUAUUAAAAUAAAUUAUAUAUUUUAAAUAUUUUUAUUAGAUUCUUUCAAAAAAAAGUAUUUUUUAUUAGAUUUACAUUAUUUUAAAAUAAAUCAUUAGCCUUCAUUUGUUUCCGCAUCUAAUAAGAUAGACAUGCAUUUUUUUCCAGCAACCAGAUAUAUUAGGCCUUUUUUGUCAUGUGGUCAUUGGUUAAACAACCAAAAUAUAUACGUUUUUAUAAAAAAAAAAAAUUGUGUAAUUAUUACUUGAUUAUAAUAAAAAAAAAAGUUUAUAUAUUUUUAAUGGCUAUACGGUGGUUGAAAUGUAUUGUCUAGGGUGGAGGGAGAAUGGUGAUGCGUGGAAGUGGAGGCGAAGUUUAGUACUCCAUCCAUUUUAAAAUGAGUGUCGUUUUAGCCCAAAAAAUUUGUUUUAAAAUGAAUGUCACUUUCAGUUUCCAAUGCAAUAAUAACUUUUUCUUUUCAAUUGUACCCUUCAAUUAAUAAUAUGUUACACUACUUCCAAAGUAUUAUUUUCUCUUUAAUGAAAAACAAAUCAAUAGUUGAUUAGGAUAAUUUGGUAAAAUUGUUAUGACAUUUGACUACUUUAUUUCAUUCCUUAAUAUGUGUGUAAUUGGUUAAAGCGACACUCAUUUUGAAAUGGAGGGAGUAGUUAGGGACGAGGAUAAGGUUAGGGAGUGUAGUGUGAUUUUAGCUAAUAUUGUUUUACAACCUAAUCUUUCUGACAGGUGGCUUUGGCAAUUACAUGUUUUCAAAAAUUACAAUAUCUCAAGUGCUUACAACUAUUUGAUGUCAUCAGACAACACUUCACCAACUGAUAUAACAAUGUCUCAAUUUGGAACAACGAGGUUCCUCUCAAAGUCAAUUUAUUUGUUUGGCGUCUUCUGCGUAAUCGAUUACCUACAACAAACAACUUAAUUAGGAGACACGUCAUUCAACCAAAUAUUCAUAUUUGUGUGGGUAGGUGUGGUAUAAUGGAGGAUGUUAAUCACUUAUUUCUCUUAUGCGAUUUUUUAGGGAAAAUUUGGUAUGGCGUAACUAGCUGACCUGGUAUCUUUACGGUUCUCCCUUCUCAUUUAUCAGAUCAUUUAAUUCACUUUGGGACUUUAGGUGGCUUUCCAAUGAGUAUUCGCUUAGCUCUCAAUCUCAUUUGACUCUCUUGUGUGUGGGUGAUCUAGAAUGAAAGAAUACUCGUGUUCUUCAACAAAAAGAGGAUUCAUUACGACAAUUACUUGAUAAAAUUAAGCUGCAAUCUUAUUGGUGACUAAAAGCAAAUUGUUCAAGAAAAAUAGUCGGCCCUAAUUUUUUAGUGAGAGAAACACCGUCUUCUCUUUAAGUUUUCUUCCUCUUUCACUCAUCGAGGAGGGGUGAUUUUAGGUCAAUUUUUGACCUAGAAUCACGCCUCUGCAUCUUUUUCCCCCUUUCUUUCAAUCUAAAUAAGUGAUUUUCACAUACAUCAAGUUUUUCUUUCGUGUUUUUUCGUGAUCUCGUCGUCUUAGUGCGACGUUGUGUUGUUCGUUGUCUUGUGCGGCGUUGUUUGAUUUCGCAUUGAAAGAUCAGCUUCAGACAAUCACAAAUUCAAUCAAUGAUUUGGACGUCAACAUUGCAGAUCCAGAAACAUGGGUAUUCUGGUGAUUUAGAUUUCAUCAUAUUAUUUGUAGACAUUUUGUCGUUGUAUGUUAUUACCUUGGGUGUUGUGAGUUUGUUCGUAGAUUCACCAUAUACGUUUUUAGUGAUAUUGAUCAUGUUAUUGUCUUUGAUGUAUUAUAUCAAUUUGAAUGAAUGAAUACCCUUUGUUUUUGUCAAAAAAAUAAAAAGCAAAUUGUUCAAAUUUUUCUUUUUCUUAUCAUUUGUGGUGGAUUAACUCAUUAUCUUGUUUGUGUAUUCAUUUGUAAUGAGGUGGUUUUUUACCUUAUUCUUAGUUUUUAUUUUUUAUUUUUAUGAUGUAAACUAAUACUCUUUUUGCUAGUUUUUUUUUUUUUUUUUUGCACUUCUUGUGCUGAAAUUUCCAGAUUUUCAACAAAAUAUUCCAUUUUAAUAUAAAAAACGUUUAUAUUAGUAAGAUUAAUUUGUAUUUAGGUCUUGCUAACCAUUGCCCUCAGGGCAAUGAUUAAGGAAGUCAAAAGUAGCAUGUUUGCAUUGGUUUCAACAAUGUUUUGAUUUUUAAAAAGUUAAAUUUAUCAUUUUUCAUCAUUUUCCAAUGCUAUAUUUAUAUUUUUAUCCCAUUAUCCAAUGCCCCAAGGGCAAUGGUUAUCAUUCUCUUUUUUAUUUAUGGAUUUCUUAACCAUUUCUAGAGCAUUAGUUAGCAAGACCAUUAUAGUGAACGUCCUGAGACACUGGUUAAAAACUUUAAAUGAUAUGUUUAUAUGAAAAUAUAUAUAUUCAAUAAAUUGAAAUUUGAAGUGUUUGACUUUUCUAAAAGAAUCAUUUUUAAACUAGGGAUUCUUAAAUUAUGUCCCAAUACAUUCUUAUUUUUAAAGGUAGAAGAAACGUAGACUUACUUCUUAAAAAAAAGAAUAUAAAAAGUUAACAAGUAACUCUGAAACAUACUUUUAAAACUAUGAAUGAUAAGUAUUUAUAAAAAUAAGUGUAUUCAAUACAUUAGAAAUUAAAAUAUUUAAUUUUUUAAAAAUACUAUUUACUUAUUUUAAAAUGGUUAAAGAGUAUCGAAAAUACUCGUUAACACAAACUUACAAAUGCCGUGAUCAAACGCACAACCAAAGUGUAAGUCAUUAAAGCAUCAUAGUGCUUUGACUUAGAGUGGUUAAACUCGCACUAACCUAUUCUCUUCUCCAAAAAGAAAAAAGUACAAACGUUAAUAAGGUAAGUUUAAUCAAUGAUACAAGCGUAAAAAAGAGAUAAAGUUUAGUCAACCAUACAUCUCUCCAGUCGGAAAAAAACACAUACAUUUGUCAACAAAAAAAGAACACCAAAGGUUAGUCAAUGAAUACAAAGGGAGACCACAGUCGUAAACCCACAAACCAAGUACCAUAAAGCCUUUGCCAACAACCUAUUGCCAAGUAGUAGAAACGUUUUGCACCCUGAAAUAAUUUUCUUGUCAAAGAGAAAAAAGUACUCAGCAAUGAUUUUCGGAGUAUUUCAAAUUAUUUUUGGAGUAAUACGCUAACAUUUUGUACCUCGAAAAUCAUUUUGGAUGUAUACAUUUUUUAUGUGUUGAUCUACACAUCUAAACAAAAGGCAUUUUUUUGCUUUGUCCAGUUGAAAUACUCUUCGGUCUUCAUUAUUACAAGAGUUUCCUUUUUUUUUUUUAAAAUGGUUCUACUUCUAAAAAAAUCAAAAAUUUUAAAAUAUAUUUAUUGUUUAAAAGAAUUUUUUAUCUUUCAAAUAAUGUCUGUCUUUUUUAUAUUAAGGGUAUAUUAAAUAUUUGACAAAUUUUUAUGUAAAUAUAUUUGUAAAAACAUUCAAAAAGUUAACAAUUAAUAAUUAUUUUGAUUUUGAUUUUUUUUUUAUAAUAAGGACUGGAGAUGGGGUUAGGCAUGACAAUGCGGCAGGAUGAGGACACGUUUUACCUUCCCCGAUUUCUAUCUACUUACUAGUUAAUCUGUCCGUAUCCAACAGGAACCUGUGAGGCACACAAAGUGCUUAAUAAUGAUUAAUCUCUAUCGGAGGACCUGUGAGACGCACAAGGUGGAUUCUUCCCUCACAACCAUAUUUUUCCAUAUGCAUGAGUCAUGAAUCAAACCCUGACCACAUGUUUAAGGAGCGCAAAUCACUUACCUUUUAGAUCAAUGCAUUGGUGGUAAAUUGAAUUAUUUUUUUACUAUGGAGUUCUGUUGGAUGCCAAUAAUUUAAAUUUUAAAUUUAUUUUGAAAUAAUUAAAUAUAAAAUAAUUAUAUGGCAUUGGACUAUGAGUACGCAAAAUUUAUUGUUUUUUAACCCAAAAUCAUGUUGUUUAACACAAACCCUGAAUGCUUAGUCUUAUUUCAAUUAUGUUCAUCAAAUCAACAUUUAAAAUAUUGGAUGACAUGAUAGAUGUAGUACUGAACUAGGAGUAUAUUACUGUUAUUGGAGUAUUUUAUCGGUUAUUCGAAAGUACUGAACUAGAAGUAUAUAGUUUACCAUAAACAAUUAAGUUUAUCCAUCCCCGUGAGCUUAGUAGAAACAUUGUAUUUUAUAUGCAGGUGUUAGGACUUAAGUCCAUGAGGAGAGUUCAAUCCAAGAGACUAGUCCAAUAGGUGGAAGAACCUCAAGGUUUAAGUACUACAUCAAGCACUUUGAUAUCCAAAAGUUUUUACGUGGAAAACACACAAAAAAUUGAAAAUGUAAAAAAUAAUGGGCUUGAGCCCAAUUAGAAUAUGUCAGGUGGCACACCCUUUAAAAAAGUAUAUCAAAUAAAACAUUUAUAAAGUAACAUUGGUAGGUGACACACUCUAAUUGGCCAAUGGUAUAUACCAUUGAUACUUUAAUGAUACACAAGUGGAAUCCCCCGGCGCGCUUAACAGCCUGCUUAAGAUUAUCAUAGUUAUAGGCAAAGCGUUCAGAGAGUAAGAGAGGCACAGCGAUAGCAGUGGAGGAGCUUCUUCUUUAGGUAUCACACACUCUCCUUCAAUCCUAUUGUUACUCAUUUCUUAUGUCAUAUUUUUUUCUUUUCUUUUUUGGUACCAUGCAAAAGAUUUCUUAUAUGACAUAUCUAUGAAUUUGGUAAUUAGGCUUUUGGCAAUAGCUUAUUAUAGCGGCUACUUUGCAGAAUAUAAUAAACUCUUGUGAGUAAAAUAGAGCUGUUUACUCACAUAGUUCUCUCCAGAGUUUAUAAACUUUUUUAGGGCAAAUACAUAUUAUAUAUGUUUGUAACAAGUUAGUUUUAUAAUUUAUUUUUAACAAAUUGGUUAUUUUAGUCUGUAAAAGUAUAUAUCGUUAACCUUUUAAAAAAUUAUGUUAAAAAAAAAAAUAUAUUGGUGUACGUUUGUCAUUUAUGCUAUUGAGCUGGAACUGUGUGUUCAUCGUAUCGUAUCAAAAAAAAUAUUACAUGCAGGGGCGAAUGCUUGUACAAGAGAGGGGUAGCUAUGGCUACCCCAAAAAAAAAAAAUUAUUGAGUUAGUAGGUAUAUUUUUAUGUUUAGCUACCCCUAAUAAUAUAUAUUUGGCUACCCCAAGUUCGAUUUUAGGUGUAAUAAUUUUUUAUGACUUUUGUUACUUUCGGAUGGCCACGUCAUAAAAUUAUUGCUAGCUUCGCCACUGAUUACAUGAAUAACUUGUUACAAACAUUUAAGUUAAAGGAAGAACUAAACGCCAUGUUUAACUUUUUUUUUUUACUAGUUUAUAACGUUUUUCUUUUUACUAAUUUAUAGCAAUUGUUAAGAUGUUAUUUGAAGUAGCAUUGAUAUUUAUAGCUUACAGUUAUCAAUUUUUUUUCUCAAUUUUAUUGUUGUUAAUUUAAUUGAAAAAAAUUAAAUAUUAAUUAACAUAUUUCUUAUGUCAUUUUAUAUUUAUUAGUUAGUUCAACUUUUAAUUAUACUAAACACUUCAAAAUCAAUUUGCAAGCUUAUUGCCUAUUGGCUAUUACAUAUCUUAUUCAAUAUCCACUAUAAAUUGGCUAUAAGCUAGCUUAUCCUCUGUAUGCUACUCUUUACUGAACAUAUCUUAAUAUCAAUACUAUAUGCAGCCAUUGAAGUAUGCUUAGAGUAAUUAAUUUAUUCAAAAGGAGUAGAUGUAGAAGAUGUCGGAGAUUUAAAUUCAUAAACAAAUGCAGCUGUUGGUGCUCAUAUUUAGACUCUAAGUCACAUGAUCAUGCCAAGAAGAAUAUAAAUCAAAACUCAAAUAGUAAGAGUUGUAAAGUGAUUUCAAAGUUGCUGCUCCCUGAAGAUUUAUUGUUUGAUAUCUUUAGUUUGGUUCCUCUUAAUAGCCUAAUUAACUCUACAAGAUAUGUUUGCAAAUCUUGGGCGGCUACUAUUCGCAGCUCCGAUUUUGCUAAAGUGUACCAACGCAAUGGUCGUUCUAAACUUGGUAUUUACGUUGAAAACCGCAUGUCAAAAAGUAGUUCUUAUUUCUUGGAUAUUAAAGAUGAUAUGAAUAGGCAAUUUGAAAGGAUUGAUUUGGAAACACCUCAAACAAUGGGGGAUUUAAUCAGUACUUGUGAUGGCAUAUUGCUACUUUCGAAUGGUUGUAGAGAAAAUAUCGUCGUGAACUCUAUCCUCAAGUGUUGGCUCAGGAUUCCUCUUUUUCCGAUUUCACAUGAACGAAUGGUAUUAAGAGAUCAAUUUAUUAUAGUUCGUGUUCCUUGCACUGACAAAUUCAAGUUGUUCUCUAAAGUUAUCCCUAUGGUUUCAGGUGUUUUUUGGUAUGUUUUCUAUGUUCUAAGAAUUGGAGUUGAUAACUCAUGGUAAGAAAUAGCUAGAAAAGAAGCACCCUUUUGGGAGUUCUCUUUUAAGCAACCAAUUUAUAGUGGAGGUAAUGAUCUUUAUUGGAUAACAAAUGAGGAAGUGAUUGUGAUGGAUGUUGAUAAGGAAAUUAUUGUACGAGAAUAUCCAUUUCCACCUGUGUUGAUGCGUGGUCGUCCACCUGUGAAGUUUUUAUGGAUGGAAAAUCGCUUUUCUUGCAUUGUGUAUAAAGAUCAUUUUCAAAAAAGAUAUCCAAUCUACAUUUUGGAUUUUGAUUCAAGAAAAUGGUCUCCUUAUCAUGAGAUGGGACCUUUUGAUUAUGUUGCUGCUUGUGGUAACCAGCUUGAUAUUAUGAUUGAGAUAUUUUGUCUAUGGAUCAACGAUCAAAUUAUCAUUCGAGUAGCUCUAUGACUACAUCCAAUAGUAAAUAUGUUGACAAACAGGAAAAACAUACAUUUUAAUUACAAUAUCAAAACCAAACAAUUUACAAAGAUUGAGGACAUUGCCUCGAGUGAUUUAUGGCUUCACACGAAUAGUCUUUUUUCAUUUCCAAGUACUCUGACAUAGCUAAGUGUUGUGGAAUGAUAUAUUUAGUAGUAUUAUUUAUAGUUGUCUUGUUUGAAAAACAAGUAUUUAUGUUUCUAUUUAAUUAUUAAGUUUCAUGGAAACUUUUCAAGUAUUAUUUUGGAAAGAAUUAUAAUUAUUAUAGGAAAAUUCUAUGGUGAAGUCAUGAGAAUGACUUUUCUAGUUAAGUUAAUACUAUAAUAUAAAAAAUGUUGUGAGUAACACUCCACUGUUUGUGCAGUGACAUCAAAAGUUCAGUUCUCAUAGUAUCAUAAAUUCAUCAGAUUAACAAGAAUACACUUAAUCUAAUUUUAUCCUACCUUGUUUUAAGUGUAACAUCCCACAAAGUGUAACACUCGAGACUAUCACAUGAUAUCAACAACUCUGUUAAAGAUGCCAAUGAUAAAAUAGUACAUGUAAGUCCAAGAUGUUGCAAGCAUUACUAGAUGAAUUACUAUUGAUCAUUAAUCAGUAAUCAACAAUUUAAAAAUGAAUCAAACAUUAAGAUUAAAAUUAACUUUUUCAAAAAAGUCAGUUUCAUAACUGCACCGUAGAAGCUCCAUAAGUCUUUCAAGAAUCCUGAUUAUAGUCUUUCAGUGCGCCAGUUACUAUUAUGAAUUUAUAAUUCUUGAGAGAAAUUAGGUUUUUGUCAGAAAUAUCUCGUGAAUUUCUAUAUUCUCAUUCUUCACUUUGAUCUGAUACAUACAGAAUAUGUGCAAAAUUUUAUUUGGCCUUUAACUGUGUAAUUUGAUUCCACUGCAAUAUUUAUUCUUUGACCCUUUUUAAUUAAUCAUCAUCAUUUGUCAAGUUUUCUUGUGUGAAAGUUAUUCAUCGAAUUCAUGCACAUGAAGGCCUUGAUGCUCAGUUCUAUAGAACUUAACAUGCUUGUGCUAAUGUGCUUUUGACUUUUUUUCCUCUGUAUGAACGAACAUAAUUAGUAUUCAAAACUUCGAAGAGUUUUGUUUUUAUGACCACAAUGGUCGACACGUGGCACCUCACUUAAGGGAUGUGGGUGGUCACGUCAGCGAAGAUUAAGUCAAAAGUGGCAUUGGGAGUCAAAACUGUCAAAGAUCCAAUACAUAGGGGGCUGUUUUGUAUUUUAAUUAGUAAUGGGGCCAAAAUCGCAACUUUUAAAAAGAUAGGGGACCAAAAGUGCAAUUAAGCUUAUUUUGUAUUACUUCAUAUUUUAUAAAAGGAUUUAAAACUAUAUGUUAUUGAUACUGUGAAUGAAAAAUUGAGUAAAAUAUGCGGUCACAUUUUAAUUAUAUUACGUAGGUCAUUAAUACCAUUUUUUUGCACUUUAUGUGUUAGGUUUUAGUUGUUUAACUACUAACAUAGAGUGAAUGAGAAUGUAAUUCAAAUUUCUCUCUUCAGAGGAGAGUAUAAUUGAUUUCAAUAUGUUUUUUUUAAACAAUGAGACAUCACAUAAGAUAUUCAACUUAACAAUGUGGAUAUUAUCAAUUGUGUAAUCUACAGUAAAUUAUGUUUUUUUGACAAGAUGAACAAUAUUACUCCCUAAAAAAACAAUAUAGUUUACUGUAAAUAAGUAAGCCUUUAAUAAAUAAGCUUAAUAGCAGUUUUCGCCCUCUAACUUUCACGAAGUUGCGAUUUUGGCUCCCUAAGAAAAAAACUAUAAAAUCACCCCCUAAGUUUUGCAUGUGGCAGUUUUGGCCCCCAAGACCAAUUUGACUCGGUCUACGCUGACGUGACACCAUAAGUGACGUGCCACAUGUUAUUUUCUUUUUUACCAAAAAUUGAUAUUGGGGUGCCAAAACUGCCACAGUUGCAAAACUUAUGGGGUGGUCUUGUAGUUUUUUUUAGGGGGUUAAAACUGCUAUUAAUUAGCCUAAUAAAUAUCCAAAAGUUUAUACGUGGAAACACAAAAAAUAGAAAAUGUAAAAAAUAAUGGGCUUGAGCCCAGCCGCAAAGUAAUGCACAUAUAACAACCUGCUUAAGAUUAUCAUAGUUGUAGGCAAAGCGUUCAGCGAACAGCGGUAGCAGUGGAGGAUCUUCUUCUUUAGGUAUCACACACUCUCCUCAAAUGCUAUUAUUAUUCAUCUCUUAUGUCAUAUAUUUUUUUUUUUUUUUCAGUAGUAGAAACUAAACAUUCUGCUAAGUUUUUCUUUUUUGGUACCAUGCAAAAGAUUUCUUAUAGUAUGACAUAUCAAUGAAUUUGGUAAUUAGGCUUUUGGCAAUAGCUUAUUAUAGCGGCUAGUUUGCAGAAUAUAAACUCUUGCGAGUAAAAUAGAGCUGUUUACUCACACAGUUCUCUCAAGUGUUUAUAAACUUUUUUAGGGCAAAUACAUAUUAUAUGUUUGUACCAAGUUAGUUUUCUAAUUUAUUUUUAACAAAUUGGUUAUUUUAGUCAGUAAAAGCAUAAGUCGUUAACAUUUUUCUUUUUACUACAUUUAUAGCAAUUUUUAAGAUGUUAUUUGAAGUAGCAUUGAUAUUUAUAGCUUAUAGUGCAUCAAUUUUUUUUCUCAUUUUUAUUGUUGUUAUUUUAAUUAAAAAAAUUAAAUAUUAAUUAACAUAUUUCUUAUGUCAUUAUAUAUUUACUAGUUAGUUCAACUUUUAAUUUUACUAAACACUUCAAAUUCAAUUUCUAGUUUAUUUCCUAUCUGCUAUUACCUAUCUUAUUCAAUAUCCACUAUAAGUUUGCUAUAAGCUAGCUUAUCCUAUGCAUACUACUUUUUACUGAACAAAUAUCAAUAUCAAUACUAUAUGCAGCCAUUGAAGCAUGCUUAGAGUAAUUAAUUUAUUCAAAAGGAGUAGAUGCAGAAGAUGUCGGAGAUUUAAAUUCAUAAACAAGUGCAGUUGUUGGUGUUCAUAUUUAGACUCUAAGUCACAUGAUCAUGCCAAGAAGAAUAUAAAUCAAAACUCAAAUAGUAAGAGUUGUAAAGAGAUUCCAAAAGUGCUGCUCCCUGAAGACCUGUUGUUUGAUAUCUUCAGUUUGGUUCCUCUUAAUUGCAUAAUUAACUCUACAAGAUAUGUUUGCAAAACAUGGGGUACUUCUAUUCGAAGCUCCGAUUUUGCUAAAGUGUACCAACGCAAUGGGCGUUCUAAACUUGGUCUUUACGUUGAAAAGCGCAUGGAAGAAAGUAGUUCCUAUUUCUUGGAUAUUAAAGAUGAUAUGAGUGGUCAAUUUGAAAGGAUUGAUUUGGGAACACCCCAAACAAUGGGAGAUUUAAUCAGUACUUGUGAUGGCAUAUUGCUACUUUCGAAUCGUUGUAGACAAAAUUUCGUCGUGAACCCCAUCCUCAAAUGUUGGCUUAGGAUUCCUCUUUUUCCGAUUUCACAUGAACGAAUAGUAUUCAGAGAUCAAUUUAUUAUAGCUCGUGUUCCUUGCACUGACAAAUUCAAGUUGUUCUCUCUAGUUAUCCAUGUGGUUUCAGGUGCUUUUUGGUAUGUUUUCUAUGCACUUAGAAUUGGAAUUGAUAACUCGUGGAAAGAAAUAGCUAGAAAAGAAGCUCCCCUUAAGGGGUUCUCUUUUCAGCGACCAAUUUAUAGUGGAGGCAAUGAUCUUUACUGGAUAACAAAUGAGGAAGUGAUUGUGAUGGAUGUUGAUAAGGAAAUUAUUGUACGAGAAUAUUCAUUUCCCCCUGUGUCAACGCUUGGUCGUCCGCCUCUGAAGUCUUUAUGGAUGGGAAAUUGUCUUUCUUGCAUUGUGUAUAAAGAUCAUUUUCAGAAAAGAUAUCAAAUCUACACUUUGGAUUUUGAUUCAGGAGAAUGGUCUCUUUAUCAUGAGAUGGGACCUUUCAAUUAUGUUGCUGCUAGUGGUAACCAGCUUAAUAUUAUGAGUGCGAUAUUUCGUUUGUGGAUCAACGAUCAAAUUAUCAUUCGAGUAGCUAUACGUCCAAUAAGAAAUAUGUUGACAAACGAGAAAAACAUACAUUUUAGUUACAAUGUCAAGACCAAACAAUUGACAAAGAUUGAGGGCAUUGCCUCGGGUGAUUUUGAAGUAUGGCUUCACACUAACAGUCUUUUUUCAUUUCCAAGUACUCCGACAUAGCUAGUUUUGUGGUAUAAUAUAUUUAGCAGUAUUAUUUAUAGCUGUCUUGUUUGAAAAACAAGUAUUUAUGUUUCUAUUAAAUUAUUUAAGUUUCAUGGCAACUUCUCAAGUAUUAUCUUGAAAAGAAGAUUAAUGAAUGGUAAGAAUCAUAUUUAUACUUCAGUGAGUCUUUUUAAUAUUAUGACUUUAUAAUUCUUGAUAGAAAUUAGAAGAGGGUGUGAGCAACUCAUUAUGCCUUGCUUUCUCUAUUUGGUUUUUGUCAGAAAUAUCUCCUGAAUUUCUAUAUUCUCAUCCUUCACUUUCAUCUGAUACAUAAAGAGUAUAUGCAGAAUUUUAUUUGGCCUUUAAAUGUGUAAUUUGAUUCCACUGCAAUAUUUAUUCUUUGACCCUUUUUAAUAAAUCAUCAUCAUUUGUCAAGGUUUCUUGUGUGAAAGUUAUUCAUCGAAUUCAUGCACAUGAAGGCCUUGAUGCUCAGUUCAAUAGAACUUAGCAUGCUUGUGCUAAUGUGCUUUUAACUUUUUUUCCUCUGUAUGAACAUAAUUAGUAUUCAAAACUUCCAAGAGUUUUGUUUUUAUGACCACAAAGCUUCAAGAGUAUAUGGGAUACUAUAAUGAGUAAUGUAUGGUAUACUAGAGGCUUAAUUUCAUAUUUCUAAAAAUGUUCAUACGUAUGUUUUGUGAUCUGGUUAUUUCUUUGGACUACAGCAUAGAAAAACACAGUUAUGUGUAGAUUUGAGAAAAAUAAGACUGAUAAGCUCAAACUUACAAAUUUGGAUUCCCUCCUGUAUUUGAGGAUUUCAUUUUAGAGACAAUGAUUGCAGUUACAUCCCCUCUUCCGCAAUGCAUCGCGAAGAUGACUGAUAACAUUGUGUGGCAUGUCUUCCCCUCUAAAACUGAGGAAUGCAUCAUAGGUAAAACCACGUGACUGGUCUCCAUAUUUUGCCAUAGACAUAGUGAACAGAAAGAACAUAACACACUUGAGAAUGUAAAACAAAGUAGAGCACUGAAGUAUGAACUAUUUUUGAAACUUCAUGGAAGACCCUGUUACUUAAUUUGUUUACGUUGACAAAUAAAGGGCCAUUGUGAUAUAUACAAAAGACGAAAAUAUGAAUUGGAAGAUGUGCAUCUCAAUUGUGCUUAUAUUUUAUAAUGGCUUGCCUAAAACGUAAAUAUUAGAAUUCUCUCACGGAAAAUAUCUAUAUCAUCUGCUACAUACUAUCCGAGAAACGGGAUAGAGUAGAAUUCGUUAGUAGUAGCAGAUAUCAACAUAUGUGAAUCUCUUGCUCGCAAAAAUGGUGGUGCCCAGAUACCAGAGAAAUGCUUUUGUUGCACAAUCCUAACGGGAUUUUCAAAACACCAACUUUGAUGUGUAGAUCUCGUGUAGCCUAUUGAAAAGCACAUGUGCGCCUUUGGUAGUGUCCCACGCCAUAAGUUCUUCUAAACGCAUGCAGCCGUGCACCAUAGGAGAUCCAACAGAUACUCGCACUUCUGGUCUCUUGAAACGGGAGCAUGUGAAGGUUCAUUGGUGACUGACAGGAGUAGUAGGCAUGAGAUGUCGACCACAAUGAUCGACAUCUCAUCCUAUAUGUAGAGAAAGUUGUUGGUUUCGCUAUACCACCACUCGGCAAAGACAGAUAAGGAGCCCCUCUCCAUCGUCGUGUAGCUGAACCACAAUUGAGACCCCAAACCAUAGUUGUCGAAGGAGGCCAAUAACCGUUUUUAAUUAGUAGUCUUACUUAACACAUUAUUUUUUGUUGCCUCCAAGUCUAAAGUGGGAAAGCUCAGUUUUGCUUCUCGUAGUCGAUUGAAAAUUCCUUCAACAUAUAUUUUCAUUCCUACCUCGGAUCUUAGGAAUGAAAAUGUAACCCAUUUACCUCUUGUAAAAGCAGCAAGCAUGGUUGUGUCUAUAUCUACAGAAGGAAAGCUACUUUGUGCUUCACAAAGUCCUGACCUCAUUCCAAACAAGAAUAUUUUCAUCAAUAUUUCUUGUACUUUGUGUCCCCAAACUUUUCUUAUGAGCAGAGGUUGAAGGUUCUCCUAUAUACGCAUCUAUAGGUGGCUUCAUUAAUUCAUCCUUAUGGUUUAAGUUUGGAGGUUGAGGCUCAUUUUUAUCAUCAUCAUCAUAUAAUUUCUUGAUAGUUCUUAGCAUCCAUGCCAAGUUAGAGUUUUCAUCUAGUGGUUUUCCUUUUAAUGCAUCCUUAACCUCGUUUGACAUCUGCCUCAAAGACGCCAUUCGAUCUUGUAAUUUGUCUUUAAUGGCAUUGUCUUCCACAUCUAUGCUUUCCGCAAAUAUCCCAUCAACAUUUCGUCAAGAGCUAACUCCUCUAUCAUCCUUAUUUGAUCCUUCAUAGGAUCUUUUGUAAGGACUACAGUAUUAGGUAAGUUUGAGUACCUUGUUGGGUCAGGACACAUGAAUUGAACACGUUCUUCCAUGUUGGUAGUUCCUUGUUUGUACACAAAAACUCCCCAUGCACUUAGUGUCACUCACACUGGACGAGGCUUCAUAUGAAACAUGCACUUGAUUCCAUUCAUGGGUAAGAAAUAAUGCAUCAAGGUCUAGCCACUCCUCAUCAUUGAACAAGAGUCGUAGAUCACAAACUAAAACAUGAUUUGGUUCAAUUCUGAACUUGUAAUAGCCUUUGUGAGGGAGACAUUGACCGUUGAUAACCAAGUGAAGCUCAACAAGUUGCCGAUGAGAUCUUCUUUUCUUCCCAACGACACUUUGGAACGAACACCAAUGCUAAAGCAACAUUGGGGAACUUCCCAUGAACCUCAGCAACAUGGAAUCCCUCCUAUACACCUAUAAUCCAAACAUUCUGGAGCCUUGGUAAUAGGCAUCACAAUUUGUAAUCCACGCCUCUCUUUUUUCACCUGUCAUAUUGAAAAAACAAAAAAAUUGGUCACGUCAGUAUAGGUGUGUAGCAUCAAAAACCUCUACAUACGGACAAUUAUUUCCAUGGUCAAUAGUUUGUCAUAGCUACAAUUACACCUCCGUUACUUUGUUAAUUAGUCAUUUUAGCUAAAUUCUACUACAAGUACAACAUCGACAUUUUAGUCCAAAAUUGUGUUGAACAUGUGUGUAAUUAAUAAAUUUAGAACAACCUAUGAAGAGGUUAUGUACCUGAUCCCAUAGCAUGUCUGAUGUCUCUCUAGUCAAGUGGAUGCAAUCUCUUGCAUCGAUUUUUCGAAUAGUGCAUGGCAACUCUGAAAUAUGUUCAAGCUUCACACAACCAUGAACAUUCAGAAUGCUCAAGUUGGUACAUUCAGGAAUUUUUUGAAGCAUAUUGCAACCACUGACAUCAAGUUUUGUCAAGUGAUCAGACUCUUUAAUGCAUGCAGGGAGGGAGACCAAAUUGUUAUCUGAAGCAAUCAAUUUUUCUAAUUUUGGAAAAUAUAUGAGAAUUUCCUGAAUAUCUUCAUCUGACAAACCGCUAUUUCCAAAAUGCAUCGCUUUUACUGUUGAACUUUCAUUGGCUUCUUGUCUAUCAGGUAGAAAUCUUCUGAAAGAUUCACCAAGUUUAGAAAAUCCUCCAAAUUUAAAAGCAACAACAUUUGGUAAUGUGAAUAUGCUACUUGGUAGAUAUUUGAGAUUCUUGCUAUAUGGCAUCUCUAUUGAAACAAGUCCAAUAAGAUUAUCAAUGGAAUUUGGCAGCUUCUUAAUAGGGGUAUUUUUCAUAUAAAUCUUCAAUGGUUUAUUCAUCUUGUUCACUAUAUCUGGGAAGUGUUUAUGUUUUACACACAAAUUAAGGUCAAGGACUUCCAGAGAUGGUAAAAACAUUCUUUGCACAAAACUUUCAAGUUUGAUGCUUCCCAAAGCACUUAAGAUGACAAGAUGUUUGAGAAAUCCAAUGGAUUCAUGAACUGUUGUUAGAUUCUUACGAUUCUCAAGUCGCAAUUUGAUAGAGCAGAGCCAAUAACAAAGAAGAAAUCAAUAGAAACUAGAGAAUAGUGGUGAAUAUUAUUAAGUAGAUGGAAUAAAGAAAAGAGUUACAAGUUCCAGAGCAAAGCUCCUCAGCAAAGUCUCUUGCUGCCGGCCCUAAAAGGCUACUAACAAAUAAUCUAAUUGCUUACCUAGAACUCCCUCUACAGAUUUACUUAUAUAGAAUACUACCAAGGAUAUAUUAUCAAAUAAUAUCUUUAUUAUAUAUUUCUAAUAUAAAUAUCUUUACUAAUAUUUAUUUAGAGAAUAUCUUCUUACUCUCUAUUGGGCUAAGGCCUAUAUCUAGUUUCCUAUCACAAUUCUCUCAAAUUUUCAACUUUGCACAGAUCAGGCAUUGUUUUGGUGAUAGAUUUGAUUAUUUGAGAAAUUCAUUAACAAGCUCUUCAAUAUUAGAUGUUGCGCUGAAUUCAUCAAGCUAGUAUCUCUUCAAAAUAUUCUAUUCUUCCCCCUUUGAAGCAGCAAGCUAUAUCUAGGAAAACACUCUGAGCAUACGGCUGCAACACAUCAUAGCUUACUUUUAGCACAUCUUGAAUCCCUUUACGAGGAAUCCUCUCAUAAUCUUUCAACGCAUGCUCCCAAGCUUUUAAACUUUUUCUAGUAGCCAAAUUGGAGCCUAUUACUUUUAAAGCCAAUGGAAGACCUUUUGCAUAACCAACCGCACGAGAAGACGUGGCUUCAUAUCCUGUUUCAGGAUUGCUUUUUCCAAAGGCAUUUCGACAAAACAACUCAAGAGAAUGUUGAUCACUAAGUUCAGUCAUUUCAUAAAUACUUUGAACUACAAAAGAAUGAGUACCUACAAGCAAACCUUUGUCCCUUGUAGUUAUAAUGACCGUACUACCUGGACCAAACCAAUCACUUCCUCCUGCCAAAUUUCCUAUUUGUUCCAUCUCAUCAACAUCAUCAAGAACCAACAGAACCUUUUUCCUUCCAAGCUUGUAUUUUAUUUCAUAGAUUCCUUUACUUAUCUUCCCAGCUCGGUUUCUGGCUGCUCAAACAUCUCUGGUAAAAGUGUCUGGUGUAAAUCUUCUGGGCCGUUGAUUUUGUUUGAUUUCUCUCUAACAUUGGCAAUAAAACUUGCAGCUUCAAAUUGGUGCACAAUUUUGUUAUACAAUGCUUUGGCAAGUUCUGUUUUUCCUAUUCCACCGAGUCCGCAUAUACCCAACAUACAUAUAGUGUCGUCAUUAGGCUUCAUGUCCAGAAGUGAUUUGACCUCUUCUAUGUGUUGAUCAAGUCCAACGGGAUUCUCACCAACAAGUGAAGGUUUAGGGGGCUAUCUUAGCAUGAACCUUUUCAACAAUCUCUCUAAUAUGAUCGAUUUCGAACCUGUAGAAAUUCAACACACUGUUUCUUAAUCUUGUGCACAUUUUUUAUGAAAAAUAAAAGAAAAAAUACAAGUACUGCAAAAAAUGCAAUUUUUUUAUGUAUUUUUGACGUUCUUUUAGGUGUAAGAAUUGCACUGAUAUAUCUAUUUAUAACUUGGGAUGAAUAAUCAUGUUAAACAAUUAUAGAUUUAUUUCACCUAAAAUAUAGGUUCAAACAAAGUACAUACAUAAGAACAAAGUUGUAGUUACAUACCAAUUGUGGAUAUGGUGACCUUUCAAGUCUGCAGCUUCAGACAAUGCUGCUUUACAUGCUUUUAUAUUUUCUGAAUCUUUUCCGAACCUAUUCUCAUGAGCAACCAUGGCUUCCCCAUAACUAUUUCUUUCGUUUCGUACAUCCGAUAGAUCAGCACAGUAAAAAAUUGGGAAAGUAGUUUGUUUAUUGUUUCUUUUCAUGCAUUUGAUGAUCUUCACUAGUUCACCAAGGCACCACCUCGAAGAUGCAUAAUUCUCCGAAAAAACAAUAACUGAGAUCUUAGAUUCUUCAAUGGCUUUUAAAAGUGCAGGUGAUAUAUCUUCCCCUAUUCUCAGAUUCUUAUCAUCAAAGAAUGGAUUGAUUCCCCUCUUCCGCAAUGCAUCGCGAAGAUAACCGAUAAAAUUGUGCCGCGUAUCUUCCCCUCUGAAACUAAGGAAAACAUCAUAGGUAAAACCACGUGAUUGGUCUCCAUAUUUUCCAUAGACAUGGUGAACAGAAAAGAACAAAACGGAAGACACUUGAGAGAGGGAGGGAGAGAUGAGAAUUUUUAUUUAGUAACAGAACAGUCUCGACGAAUCAAGCAGCUGGGUACCAUGAAAUAUGAACUAUAUAUGAAGUUUCUUGGAACAUUUAUAUGAUAUCUUGUACAAAAAACGAAAAUCUGAACUAGAAGAUUGUGCUUCUUAAACAUGCUUAUAUAGUUAUAUAUGGUGUGCGUAAAACGUGAGUUUUUUUUUUUGUUUGUUUAAAACUUUCAAAAGGUACGCUUAUUGAGUUAUUUAUUGAUGUACUAUUUCAGCUAAUUUAAAACUUAAAUUAGUAGACUGCCACAAUAUUAAAAUUUGCAUCAAUAUUCUAUUCAUUCUCAUUAUCAGUCAGUUCAGAUCUGUUAUGUUCAAAUUUUCAACUACAGACGCACGUCAAUAGUAUAUUUGCAUAUGAUAUGAGUGCAAGAAAAAAAAAAAAAAAAAAAAAAAGUCUUUAUAUUUACACUUUUUUUUGUUUCACACAUAGAACAUGUUUUGUUUUAGUCCUUCUCUCUGCCUCCAAUGCAAAAGCACAUGUUAUCAUUGCUGGCUGGCACAAGAGAUGAGAAUGUCACACCAUUUUUUUCUCAGGUCAACACUUGCCAUAUAAGCAUUUAUGGUAAAUGCUGCGAAAACCAAUAUUUUGAAAGGGAAAGAAAAACUAGAGAUCAGAAAUGCUUAUACUGAGACUUCAGAAGUUCAUCAAAAACAAAAUACCAAAAUGUUUGAUUCACGUAAAACUAAAACAAACCACAAAUGCAAAAGGAAAUUAGCAGAAAAGAAGUAAAACACGCCGCAGUUGUUUCCUUUUCUAUUGAUCAGGAACUUGGUUUGUCCUUCAAGUACUUUCAGUUUCGGUAUCACUAUCAGUAUCCGUAUCACUAUCUGUGUCUGUGUCUUCACUUUCACUGUCACUUUCUUCCAAAUAUUUCAGGUAAUAGAUACAUAUCAAUGCAGCCGCAGCCAUAAUCAUCUGCAUAUGCAUACAAUGGAGCAUUCGCCUUCGCUCUUCUUCAUUGCCAUCAUUUCCACCACGUUUUUUAUUCGAACUAAACACGCUAUUUGUCAUACUUGAAAGCCUGCAAUGUUUCGCAUACGACAGUUCUUGAAUAUAUUUUAUCCACACAGAUACAAGAACCAAUAAUCACAAACACUACUACUACUUGGCUUGCUGCAUAAAUUGGAGGAAUAAUAUGAUGAGAAAUUCUAAUAUGGACCACCUUAACAAGUGGUCCACCGUGGACUAGUAUUACAAAAUGUUUAAAAAUUAAAACUACAAAACAACAAAAGAGGUUGUCUCUUGAUAAUGGUUCUUAUUUUUACGAUUGAAAUAAUGACUUAAUUGAUACUGAUUUGAUUAAAACAAUGGAAAAUAAAUAGAUAGCCGGUAUUAAACCGACAUCGUUUAAGUCACCGUCUUAGCCGUAAAUAUGAGAAAUGAUGAAUUUUAACUUUUAAUUUUUGAAUAGUAUCAUCAACCGCUAUGAAAUUUCUAUAAUUUUUUAGUGGUUCACGGUGGACCACCGAAGAACUCACUGUUAUAUACCAACUUGUAUUCACAUUUUUUGUACACAAGUCACAGAAAAACUAACUGAAAUCAUCAUAUUAAAAUUGACAUAUUAUUAGACAAAUUUGUACAAUAACAGGAAAACUAACUGAAAGCAUUAUAUUAUAAUUUUAUUGAAGAAAAAAGAAAACAGAAAUUAUAGUAUAUGUGCAAUGCAUCAAUAAUGAUAAGUUCUUUUUUUUUUUUUUUUGAGGGAUCAAUAAUGAUAAGUUCAUCUUGCAUUCAUGUAAAUUAUUCUACAACAUGGUGAAAAAUGAUGGAAUAAUGAAUUGAUAAAUAAUUAGAGCAUGUUAAAAGUAGUGUAAUCGGAGUAGUAUUACCGUGGACGUGGGAAAACCAGCGACGGAGGAAAGCGCGCGAUUAAGGAUUGGAGUGAGCAGUUAUGUUGUGGUGAAGUGGUGUGUAGAGUCAUUUAUAGCAUAUGUAAUCAAACUCUUUUUUUUUUUUUUUUUUUUGAGUAUAAAACAAAAUAGUGUUGUUUGACUAAAGAUUUAGCGUUUUUGUUAUUUUGUUAUUUUAAAGAUAUAAUUUGUCAAUUAAACUCUUUCUUAGUUAUUCUUAUCUUUUUCGAUAAAACCAAUUAAUCUUAUGUAUUUGGAAAACUAAAGUUUGAAUUUUUCUAAAUAAAGUUUGUUUCUUUUUAAACAAAGUUUGUUUUUUGUUAUCUUCAACAUUCAAAUUUAUCUAUACUAUAUGUUAAGAGAAUAGGGGAUUUCGGACCGUAUUUUUUGUUAUUCUAAUUAUAUUUUUAAACAAUCUUUUUCUAUAAUAAUGUUAUAUUGAUGGUGUUAUUAAAAAAGAUGAGAAUUUUUGUUAUGUUAUUGUUGUCAUUGAAAAAAAAAUAUGGUUUGUUGAGUUUGUUACAUUUGAAAGUCACAAAUAUCUAUACUUAUAAUUUUAGUUUAUAUCAAAAAUUUAUAUAAAAAAUCGUUUGUAAUUUACACGCAAAAUUUAUAUAAAAUAUAGUUGAUAAUCUACACAAGUUAGCGCAAUAAAAAUAGCAGAAAGACGGACACAUGAGUGUCUGUCUUUCCGCUAGUGUCACAUGCUUCCUCCGUUCCUUUUUAAGUGUCUUUUUAGAAAAUUAACACCAAAAUAGCGACGUGUAUUUUUGCACAUUUUCUUCCUAUUAUACCCUCAUUUUAAUCCAUCAAUAAAUUACUUUUUUUUGCACGCUCUCUCUCUCAUAACAAACAUUUGUUAAUUUUCUAAAUAUUGUGCAUAUCUUUUUAGUUAUUUUAAGUCAAUAUAAAAAUUAUAUUGAUGAAAAAAUUUCUUCUUCAUUGUCAUCUUGUUAUUGUUCUUGUAUUUUACCAAAUAAGUCUUCAACUAUUGCUCCCUCUUCACCUUUCAUCAGCAGUUUCAAUGAGUCUUCCACUUUUUCUUCCUUUUGAACAUUAAUGGAGUCUUUUAUUUUUCUUCUCUCAAAUAUGUUAUUUUACUUUGCACUUGAAAUUUUUGUUUAAAAAAAACAAACUUUAUUCUAAAUAGAUAGCAUUAAUUAGUUUUAUUGAAUAAAAGAUAAGAACAAUUGACAAAGGAUGUAAUCGACAAAUCGUAUCCUUAAAAUACCAAAAAAACGGUUAAAUAAUGAAAAAUUCACCCUCUAAAGAAGUAGUUAUCAAGCUUAGUGAUCAUAUAUAUGUCCAUAUCUAGAAAUUCAAAGAUGUCAUUUUUGUCUAUGAAGUCGGAUAAGUGCCGUGGACUUCAUGGCUUUUAUUCAAGCUUCUAUCACCCUUUUUGGUCUUUGUGUGGUUAGGAAACUCAUCGGAUUUAUUGUUCCUAGUUAGAUUCGGGCACGCUCCUUUAGGACCAGCCUAAACUAGGACUUUAGGCCUUUAAAUUUUUGAGUAUACAGCAACCAAAUGAAUUGAGUAAUAAAAAACUUUAAUUGAGAAGAUAAUCCCAUGAGAUUGGUCUAAAGAAAUGGGGAGCUUCAGCCACCAUGAAAUGCAAGUAUUCCUUAGGAAGAUUCAUGUAGAGCAACCAAUCACCAUUCCUUUUAGGACUAGGCAUUGGCAUAACGUAGCCCGCAUCACCACCACAAGGAAUAUGAUAAGAUCCAACCACGGGCUUCCCCCAUCCGAAAUCUACCUUCGACUCUGAAAACCUUUGCCCAGAAGACACCACAAAUGUCGGUCCAUCUGCUCCACCAGUUACUCCGCAAUAAAUCCUUGCCAAUCCCGGAACCGGUCGAUGCUCUUCCACCCAAUCAAUUAGUCCCAAGAAAUGUUCUUCCGUGUCCGCAACCUCCACAAACUCAUGAACUUGCUCUGUCACCCAACAUAACGACUUUUCAACAAGUUCUUCUAUUAAUCUACAACUAUAGGGAGUUGAAAGCACAUUCCCAAAAUACGAACUCAUAAACUCUUCUUUGUUUUUGUCACCGUUGCUUAAUCUCUUUCUUCCGUCAACCACAAUCCCCAUUUUUGCAACAACAUUUUCACUAUUGGUUGAAGCGGCUGAUGCAACCAUUUUCCACAAGAAAGCAGAAAACGAUUCAAGUUUUGAGCGCUUAACGCUUCCACUAUUAUUUGUGUUGGCUAGUAACUGCAUGGUGUUGAGUUCUUCGCUUGUUACGUAGUACAUGCGACUUAUUAGUGGGUUGGUUUUAAUAUCUAAUUCGGGCUUGGAUUCAGGUGGUGGAGGUAGAUCCGAGAUGGGGAUGUACAUGUCAUAGAGUGAAGGAUGGAUGGAAGGUGGGUGUCUUGGGGUCAGAAGGGACCUUUGAAAACAAGGUUGUGUUGUUGGGAUCAAAGACUUGUUAUUGCUCGAUCGGGCUAUCUCGGCCCAUGAUACAAGAAACAUGUUUGCAGAAUAGGCGUCGGCUAUUCGAUGGUCAAAAUUGCACGCCACUACUAACCCACCACAUUUCAUCCAAGUUGCCUGCACAGUUACAAGAUGAUAAUAAUUCUUUCACUAUUCUAAUAAUCCCUUGAGAUCAAAAUGUUUUUGUAAAUAUGAACAAAUAUUAAAAACUUUCACCUGAACAGCAAGUACACCAUAUUUCUUCUUUGGAACAAGCUUCCCUUCAAUGGUUUCCUCUGGCUUAUACAAAUCGAGAGAUUGCAACUCAACAUCAGCAACAGCUUCAACAAAAUCCACACCACGGUUAUUGCAAAGUAGCUCAGGUUCACCCAUGGAGUUAGU